rnacentral:rRNA from 1 species
GAGUUUGAUCCUGGCUCAGAACGAACGCUGGCGGCAGGCCUAACACAUGCAAGUCGAACGCUGCAGCAAUGCAGAGUGGCAGACGGGUGAGUAACGCGUGGGAAUCUUCCUAUCGGUACGGAAUAGCUCAGGGAAACUUGGGGUAAUACCGUAUACGCCCUUACGGGGAAAGAUUUAUUGCCGAUAGAUGAGCCCGCGUCUGAUUAGCUAGUUGGUGAGGUAAUGGCUCACCAAGGCGACGAUCAGUAGCUGGUCUGAGAGGAUGACCAGCCACACUGGGACUGAGACACGGCCCAGACUCCUACGGGAGGCAGCAGUGGGGAAUAUUGGACAAUGGGCGCAAGCCUGAUCCAGCCAUGCCGCGUGAGUGACGAAGGUCUUCGGAUUGUAAAGCUCUUUUGGCGGGGACGAUAAUGACGGUACCCGCAGAAUAAGCCCCGGCUAACUUCGUGCCAGCAGCCGCCGUAAG